AGAGGAAACUGCUUCUGGUAUUGUUGCUCCAUAUGUAUUUGAGGCUGUGAGGAUGACGAUGGAGGUUCAUAAAACAGAGAAAGAAGGGACCAUUCUUGCCUUUUUAACUUCUCAGAUGGAAGUAGAAUGGGCUUGUGAGGAAUUUGAAACUCCCUCUGCAGUUGCAUUACCCUUACAUGGAAAGCUUUCUGGUGAAGAGCAACAUCGUAUUUUCGAAAAUUAUCCUGGGAAAAGAAAAGUUAUAUUUGCCACUAAUCUUGCAGAGACUUCACUUACAAUUCCUGGGGUCAAGUAUGUGGUUGACUCUGGCAUGGUCA
rnacentral:misc_RNA from 1 species